rnacentral:rRNA from 1 species
AUGAACGCUGGCGGCGUGCCUAAUACCUGCAAGUCGCGCGAACGGACGAGAAGCUUGCUUCUCUGAUGUUAGCGGCGGACGGGUGAGUAACACGUGGAUAACCUACCUAUAAGACUGGGAUAACUUCGGGAAACCGGAGCUAAUACCGGAUAAUAUUUUGAACCGCAUGGUUCAAAAGUGAAAGACGGUCUUGCUGUCACUUAUAGAUGGAUCCGCGCUGCAUUAGCUAGUUGGUAAGGUAACGGCUUACCAAGGCAACGAUGCAUAGCCGACCUGAGAGGGUGAUCGGCCACACUGGAACUGAGGCACGGUCCAGACUCCUACGGGAGGCAGCAGUAGGGAAUCUUCCGCAAUGGGCGAAAGCCUGACGGAGCAACGCCGCGUGAGUGAUGAAGGUCUUCGGAUCGUAAAACUCUGUUAUUAGGGAAGAACAUAUGUGUAAGUAACUGUGCACAUCUUGACGGUACCUAAUCAGAAAGCCACGGCUAACUACGUG